AUUGAACGCUGGCGGCAUGCUUUACACAUGCAAGUCGAACGGUAACAGGUUAAGCUGACGAGUGGCGAACGGGUGAGUAAUGCAUCGGAACGUGCCCGAUCGUGGGGGAUAACACUUCGAAAGAAGUGCUAAUACCGCAUACGAUCUGAGGAUGAAAGCGGGGGACCGUAAGGCCUCGCGCGAUCGGAGCGGCCGAUGUCAGAUUAGGUAGUUGGUGGGGUAAAGGCUCACCAAGCCGACGAUCUGUAGCUGGUCUGAGAGGACGACCAGCCACACUGGGACUGAGACACGGCCCAGACUCCUACGGGAGGCAGCAGUGGGGAAUUUUGGACAAUGGGCGCAAGCCUGAUCCAGCAAUGCCGCGUGCAGGAAGAAGGCCUUCGGGUUGUAAACUGCUUUUGUACGGAGCGAAAAGGCUCUCUCUAAUACAGGGGGCUCAUGACGGUACCGUAAGAAUAAGCACCGGCUAACUACGUGCCAGCAGCCGCCGCCG
rnacentral:rRNA from 1 species